UCUGACUCACACAAUUGUCAAAACUUAAAGAGAUAAUUACUAAUGGGACAAAAAAGACAAAGGAGCUUGAAAGAGAAUGCUCAGAAAGCCCACACUAACUCUACCAAGAGCGAGGGACAUGUGCAAAGCUAGUGUUCAAGCUCAUAUUCAAAUGCAGAGCAUAAGUGGAGCAGACAGAGAUUAGUUUACCAAGUAGCCAAGGGAAAGAAUAAAAACUACAAGGAAAAAUACGCCAACAUAUGUGCAAAAGCAAAUGUACAAAUCACAAAGCAGAAGAGAGAAAAAAUGCUAAGGAAGACCUGGGGGUACUGUAGAGAAAAACAUGUUAAUGGAAAAUGCCAAGCAUCUGGGGUCUUGACAAAAUUAUGGAAUAAGAAAUUAUGCCAAGGCUUGCAGAAAAAAACAAAACAAAAAAGUAGUAUACCAGAUCAAGGAAGCAAGCAGUGACUCAGAGGAGGGGAGUCUGCACAUGACUAAUAUAUUGCGAAAGAGCAAAAUUAAAUGAUUUGUGAAGCUCAGACUAGCAGCAGAUGCAAAGAGAAGGCAGCAGCAUACAUGCAGGAAACUGAAUGUCAAAUAGAUGUGGAGGCAUCGGUGAAUGUGCUAGGCUAAAAAGAUUGGUAUUAUGCAAGAGAAGAAAGUGAAAUUUCAACCAAGUGAAGCCAAAUUAAAAUUAGGCAAGGCGUGAUCAUAAUACACUAGGACAGUGAAAAUUACGUGCAGAAUACCCAGGAAAAGCAAAUCAGGCAGAAAUUUCUGGUAGCACAAACAUAGAAACAGAAACCACUGCUUUGAGCUAGAACAAUUGAAGGCUGAAACCUGGGACAAACCAUUCAUACAACAGACACAAGCAAAAACAUACCCAGAGCAGACAAUGAACCAUGGCAGCCCUGCAGCAAAGCUCCCAAAAGAUUAUCAAGCUGGUUUUGAAGGACUGGGAUGUCAUAAAGGCAUGUCACACCCAGAAACAAAACAAUUCAGCCACUAUCAGCCUCACACAGUACAGUUUAA